AACCUUUACAUUUUAAUCAAAUUAAGGCAUAAUAUUAGGUGCUAAUAUAGCUAUAGUAAUAAACGUAAUUUAGAAUAGAGGUUGCGGACUCGGGGGCGGUACCCGACGCCUUCACCAAUACUCGAUGUCAUAUUUGUCAUCCCGCAAGCUUGUAGCGGUAUCCAGUAAAAUAAAAAAAUACUACUAUUUUUUUAUUUUACUGGAUACCGUGGUCAAGCCACGGUAUGACAAAAUGUAAUGGGGGCGAAAUAGGAUCGACGUGCUUAAUAAAAAAAUUGCUUUUACUCGGGAUGAUUCCGCCGAUAGGCUUGCCUUACGGGUCAAAAAAAAGAAACGCAAAUGAUAAUCGUUUCGCGGGUUCUGCACUAGCUGCAGCUUAACCACGCGCGGUUUGGGGGUUACCGGGCAACAGAAAAACCCCCACG
rnacentral:tmRNA from 1 species